rnacentral:rRNA from 1 species
CCUACGGGAGACAGCAGUGAGGAAUAUUGGUCAAUGGACGAGAGUCUGAACCAGCCAAGUAGCGUGAAGGAUGACUGCCCUAUGGGUUGUAAACUUCUUUUAUAAAGGAAUAAAACGAGGCACGUGUGCCUUUUUGCAUGUACUUUAUGAAUAAGGAUCGGCUAACUCCGUGCCAGCAGCCGCGGUAAUACGGAGGAUCCGAGCGUUAUCCGGAUUUAUUGGGUUUAAAGGGAGCGUAGAUGGGUUGUUAAGUCAGUUGUGAAAGUUUGCGGCUCAACCGUAAAAUUGCAAUUGAUACUGGCAGUCGUGAGUACAGUUGAGGUAGGCGGAAUUCGUGGUGUAGCGGUGAAAUGCUUAGAUAUCACGAAGAACCCCGAUUGCGAAGGCAGCUUACUAACCUGUGACUGACAUUGAUGCUCGAAAGUGUGGGUAUCAAACAGGAUUAGAUACCCGUGUAGUC